rnacentral:rRNA from 1 species
UACGGAGGGUGCAAGCGUUGUCCGGAUUUAUUGGGUGUAAAGGGUGCGUAGGCGGCCCUGUAAGUCAGUGGUGAAAGCCUCCAGCUCAACUGGAGAACUGCCAUUGAUACUGCAGGGCUUGAGUACAGACGAGGUUGGCGGAAUUGAUAGUGUAGCGGUGAAAUGCAUAGAUACUAUCAAGAACUCCGAUUGCGUAGGCAGCUAACUAGGCUGUAACUGACGCUGAGGCACGAAAGCGUGGGGAGCGAACAGG